YMGUGGAUUGGUGUAAUAAUUAGUAUAAUAGAAAAUUAAAGCUUUUGGCGGUUAGAUAAAUCAGAGGAACUUGCUUUUUAAUUGAGGGAGCUCGUUAUAUUUUUCCUUAAGGGGGUUUAUUUAUCUUCGUUAUUGAUGAACUAAAAUGGUUUUAUUUCAGAUAAAGAUGUAGCUUUUUGAGGAUAAAGUUAGUUACGGUAUUAAGGGUGAAUUAGGGAAGGAAUAGGUCUAUAUGAAAUUGAAUUUGAAAGUAUGUUGAAUUAUAAUGGUUGUGUGAAUAUGUAGGUCUA
rnacentral:rRNA from 1 species